CUGCAGCACCAGCCCCGCCGACCCGCAGCACUGGACACAGGACCUUCUUCGAGCCUUCGGUCCCUUAUACACGAGGUGGCCACUCUGCCUUGACGUCUCUUGGGUCUAAGCUGCCCCCUCACUCCCACCCACCAAAGCCUUGGCCCGGAAGAUGCCUCUCAUCGUUAUGCAGCUGACGGGGAAGGAGACAGGCACGAAGACGCCCUUCUCUGCUCUCCUGGUGCCAGGACCCACGCACAGAGCAGAACACGAGGCCCAGAAGAAUCUCACCCUUUCGGGAGGACCCGGACCCGGACCGGCAUUUCUGGAGCCUCGCUCUCCUGCCUGCAGGACCUACACCCACGUCAGCCACUGGCCAGUCCCAGCAUGGAUCUUGUCAUGGGCAGUCUUCUCCUGAGCCACCUGCCGCAGGGCCCCAGGGGUGGGAGCCAGCGGACUGUCCCUCUGGAGCCUGCAGCAGGUGAGGGGACCAGUGUCCACCCCCUGCUGUCCCACAGGCUGCUGUACAAGGUAGAUUUCUAGUGAGGGAAGAUCACUAGCCCCUCCCAGGCCCGGGUGCUCUGUCCUGUCCCCCCACCGCACACACACAUCUAUGCCAGGUCCUGAAAAGAGGCACUGGGAGAGUCCAACCUCAUUCAUUAAGUCCUCCCACGUGGCCAGCCGUGCUGGGUCAGUCACUGGAAGAGGCACAAGAAAAUGCAGUAACCUCCCCGCUGUCCCUGGUUGUCCUCCCUCUGGUGCCAGCCUGUGCCUGUAUUGUGGACCACCUCCCUCCCUCCUUCCCUCCUUCCCUCCCUCUCUCUCUCCCUCUCUCACACAGCUUCCAGAGUCCUCUGCUCAAUUCCAAUCUGUUUCCAUGCAGAGCCCCAGGCUUGCUGUCCAUAGUCCCAAAUGCAUUCAGGUGCUCUGCUGAACAAAGAGAGUCUCCCACCAUAGCUAUCAAAGAGAAAAAAAAGGGGGCACCUGGGUGGCUCUGUCACUUGAG